rnacentral:lncRNA from 1 species
UCCAAACUUAUCAAACAUGCAUCAAACCUAUUCUACAACACACAAACGCAAGCAUACAUGGUCCUAGGGGUCUCAAACCAUCAUAAACCCCAUCUACAACACAUCAAGCAUCCACAUUGUUCAAGAACACACAUUAUACCCAUAAACACAACCAUAACCUAAACAUGCAUUCUAACCCAUAGAUCUUGCAUAAAACUUAUUCAAAACAUAAAACGAGCUUAAGAUCGGCUCUUACCUUUUGAAGAUCGAGAGAGACGACCCAAAAACUCGGAGUUGGGAGAGAUUUGGUUCUUGAACCUCCAAGCUCCAAAACUUUGCUCAAAAGCUUAAAUCUUCAAAACCAAGUUAAAACAAGUGAAAAUCUUGAAAGAUUUAGAGGAAGAACAUCAAAAAUGGGUGAGGGACGGCGGAGAGCUCACCUUGGCCCAAAAUGGGGAAAAGUUUGCCCGUUUUCG